AGUGAACGCUGGCGGUAGGCCUAACACAUGCAAGUCGAACGGCAGCACAGUAAGAGCUUGCUCUUACGGGUGGCGAGUGGCGGACGGGUGAGGAAUACAUCGGAAUCUACUUUUUCGUGGGGGAUAACGUAGGGAAACUUACGCUAAUACCGCAUACGACCUACGGGUGAAAGCAGGGGAUCUUCGGACCUUGCGCGAUUGAAUGAGCCGAUGUCGGAUUAGCUAGUUGGCGGGGUAAAGGCCCACCAAGGCGACGAUCCGUAGCUGGUCUGAGAGGAUGAUCAGCCGAACUGGAACUGAGACACGGUCCAGAAUCCUACGGGAGGCAGCAGUGGGGAAUAUUGGACAAUGGGCGCAAGCCUGAUCCAGCCAUACCGCGUGGGUGAAGAAGGCCUUCGGGUUGUAAAGCCCUUUUGUUGGGAAAGAAAAGCAGCAGGUUAAAACCCCGCUGUUCUGACGGUACCCAAAGAAUAAGCACCGGCUAACUUCGUG
rnacentral:rRNA from 1 species